CAGGAAGCAUAUGCAUGCUGUAUAAGAGUGAAUAUAAGAGUUAGAAGUUAUUACAAUUGGGUUAGUGUAUUUUUCAUGGACAAUUGCGAUAAAUUCUUGCCUGAAUUGGAAUAUAAUCCUUAGUGGUUAUGUUUACAGGGGCUUAUAUCAUGCUCCUUUACAGAAGAAUUGCAAAGCUGUUUUCAUAAAUGAUAUCUGCAGCAACAACAAAGUUUAUAUGGCAGAAAAAUCAUCAAGUGGUCUGCCAAGACCUUCAGCGAUUUUCAAGUGGUCCAUGGAGGAAAAAAAGUUUGAGAACUACACUGAUCUAUACUGACUAGCAAAGGCUCUCCAGCAGCUACUAGAAUCAAGAGGGUGGGGAAGAACAGAGACCUACAAUGUCAUGGCAGUGAUCCCCAUAAGCAAUUGCAAAGAUUAUGUCAAGCUCAGGACUUGUCAUGAAGAAGCUGUUUCCAACAACAUCCCCAGUCAACCCGACUAUGGUCAGUCCAGAUAACAGUCCAGAUAUGCGAGAUCAACUGUUACCAUCCCAUUUGCUCCAAACACACUCAGAGGAGGAAAUCGCUUUGGCUAGCCUCAUUCCCACACCAGGUAUUUGCAACUAACUUGUAGCAGAAGUUGGCAUCAUGCUUGUAAUAGCGGCACAGGUUCCCAUCAUCAGGAGGGGUUGCACAGAAGAAGAUAGUCGGAGACAAGUUAUAUCGCCCAGUUUUGCAGAAUUCAUCUAUUUCUCGAGGAACCCCAGGCUCAAUAGCCACUCUAUCACCUGGGAGACAAGAAGGAUGCAGUAAGAUAAAAGCAUGGACAAGUUGUCAUGUAAAGAGGCGAUUUUUUUCCUAGAAGCCAGAGAUCAGACUACACGUACC